rnacentral:misc_RNA from 1 species
UCUCCGUAGGUGAACCUGCGGAGGGAUCAUUACUGAGUGAGGGCUCACGCCCGAUCUCCAACCCUUUGUGAAUCGUACUCGUUGCUUCGGGGGCGACCCUGCCGUUUCGACGGCGAGCGCCCCCGAAGGUCUCCCAACACUGCAUCUUUGCGUCGGAGUUUGAAACAAAUUAAACAAAACUUUCAACAACGGAUCUCUUGGUUCUGGCAUCGAUGAAGAACGCAGC